rnacentral:rRNA from 1 species
AUUCCAGCUCCAAUAGCGUAUACUAAAGUUGUUGCAGUUAAAAAGCUCGUAGUUGAAUUUCUGGAUGCGAAAGAUGGUCGGCACCUCACGGUGUCUGUACUUUUCAUUCGCGUCCAUCCUCGGGAGGAACGUGUGGGGCUUUAAGUAGUUCUGCUCGGGAAUCUCGUCAUUUACUGUGAGCAAAAUAGAGUGUUCAAAGCAGGCUUAUGCCGUUGAAUAUAUUAGCAUGGAAUAAUAAGAUACGACUUUGGUCUAUUUUGUUGGUUUGCAUUCCAAAGUAAUGAUUAAUAGGGAUAGUUGGGGGUAUUCAUAUUUGAUUGUCAGAGGUGAAAUUCUUGGAUUUUUCAAAGAUGAACAAGUGCGAAAGCAUUUACCAAGGAUGUUUUCAUUG